rnacentral:lncRNA from 1 species
AUUUGUAUUUGCAUUGGCUAGCACGGCAAAUCUUGUGAUCAUCACCACAAUUCUUUGAGAUAGGCAGGCAGAUAUUGCUGUUCUUUCUCAGAGGGAGAAACUGUAGCUUAGAAAAGUGGGUGUAAGUGACCUACAUCCUCAAUGUCCAACUAGGCUGGGAUUCAACUCUUGGUACUAUGGCUCCAAGUGGGACCAGAGUUGCUGAAGCCACACGGCUUUUGACCACAACAGAUUGUAACUUAGAAGAGACUAGGGAUUUUCAUUCUUUAUUCUAAACUUUCUGCCUUAAUUUACUUCCUGUGUAUCUCAAUUCCUUUCCUACUUUCAAUCAAAUAUACCUUCAAAGGUGGCCAUGCCUAAUUUUCACAACCUGUGUGUGUGUGUGUUAAGUUACAGGGCAAUGAGGAAUUAAGAUUGUAGAUCAAAUGACCUUAAGAUGGGGAGAUUAUCUUGGAUUAUCCAGGAAGGUCCAGUGUAAUCAUGAGGAUCCUUAUAAGUGGAAGAAAGAGGCAAAAGAGGGUACCAAAGAGAUGAUGUCAUGAGAAGGACCCGACCAAGGUUGCUGGCUUUGAAAAUGGAGAAAAGGAGCCAUGAACCAACAAUAUGAGUAGCUUCUAGAAGCUAAGAGAAUUCCUUUUUGCCUCUCCUUUUCUCAAUUAUAAUCUGACGUGGCAAAGAAACACAUUGUUCCCAAGAGCCUCUGGAAGAAAAGCAGUCAUGUUGAACACUGAUUUUAGCACAGCAAGACUCCUUCCAGACUUCUAACCCUCCACAACUCUGAGAUAAUAAGUGAUUUUAAGGCACUAAGUUUGUGACAAUUUGUUAGAGUGGUAACAGAAAGCCAAUACAGUUCUCAUGAGCAUUACUGUGUGCUAUGGUGUCAGUAAGUCUCUCUACCAGUGCGUUGGAGGUUUAGACCUCAGGGUGGUAGUAUUGGGAAGCGUUGGAACCUUAAGAAAUGAGGUCAAGCCAGGUGUGGUGGUGCUUGCCUAGAAUUCCAGUGACAGGAGGCUGAGGCAAGAGGCACAAGUUCAAAGCCAGUGUUAGCCACUUGGUGAGGCCCUGAGCAGCUUAAUGAGACCCUGUCAUAAUAAAAAAUAAAAAGGGCUGGGGAUGAGGUUCAGAAGUUAAGUGCCUCUGAGUUCAAUCCCCAGUACCAAAAAAAAAAAAAAAAAAAAAAGAAAUGAGACCAAGUAGGAAGUCCUUAGGUCAAUUAGGGGUGUGUCUCCAGAAGUGAUCGUGGGACUUCAGUUGGUUUUUGGCUUCCUGUUUAGAGAUUUGAUCUCUUCCAUACUUGCC